GAGUUUGAUCAUGGCUCAGAACGUACGCUGGCGGCACGCCUAACACAUGCAAGUCGAACGAAGUAGCAAUACUUAGUGGCAGACGGGUGAGUAACAUGUAGGUAUCUACCCUUUGGCCUGGAAUAACACGAGGAAACUUGUGCUAAUACCGGAUAAGUCUUUACGGAGAAAGCUUUAUGCACCAUUGGAUGAGCCUGCACUUGAUUAGUUUGUUGGUGGGGUAAUGGCCUACCAAGACUUUGAUCAAUAGCUGAUUUGAGAGGAUGAUCAGCCACAUUGGGACUGAGACACGGCCCAAACUCCUACGGGAGGCAGCAGUGGGGAAUCUUGCACAAUGGAGGAAACUCUGAUGCAGCGAUGCCGCGUGAGUGAAGAAGGCCUUUGGGUUGUAAAGCUCUUUCGUCGGGGAAGAAAAUGACUGUACCCGAAUAAGAAGGUCCGGCUAACUUCGUGCCAGCAGCCGCGGUAAUACGAAGGGACCUAGCGUAGUUCGGAAUUACUGGGCUUAAAGAGUUCGUAGGUGGUUGAAAAAGUUGGUGGUGAAAUCCCAGAGCUUAACUCUGGAACUGCCAUCAAAACUUUUCAGCUAGAGUUUGAUAGAGGAAAGCAGAAUUUCUAGUGUAGAGGUGAAAUUCGUAGAUAUUAGAAAGAAUACCAAUUGCGAAGGCAGCUUUCUGGAUCAUUACUGACACUGAGGAACGAAAGCAUGGGUAGCGAAGAGGAUUAGAUACCCUCGUAGUCCAUGCCGUAAACGAUGUGUGUUAGACGUUGGAAAUUUAUUUUCAGUGUCGCAGCGAAAGCGAUAAACACACCGCCUGGGGAGUACGACCGCAAGGUUAAAACUCAAAUGAAUUGACGGGGACCCGCACAAGUAGUGGAGCAUGUGGUUUAAUUCGAAGAUACGCGCAGAACCUUACCAACACUUGACAUGUUCGUCGCGACUUUAAGAGAUUAAAGUUUUCGGUUCGGCCGGACGAAACACAGGUGCUGCAUGGCUGUCGUCAGCUCGUGUCGUGAGAUGUUGGGUUAAGUCCCGCAACGAGCGCAACCCUCACUUUUAGUUGCCAUCAUUUAGUUGGGCACUCUGAAAGAACUGCCAGUGAUAAGCUGGAGGAAGGUGGGGAUGACGUCAAGUCCUCAUGGCCCUUACGUGUUGGGCUACACACGUGCUACAAUGGUAUUUACAACAGGAAGCAAGACGGCGACGUUAAGCAAAUCCUUAAAAAAUACCUCAGUUCGGAUUGCACUCUGCAACUCGAGUGCAUGAAGCUGGAAUUACUAGUAAUCGUGGAUCAGCAUGCCACGGUGAAUGCGU
rnacentral:rRNA from 1 species